rnacentral:rRNA from 1 species
AAUUGGAGGGCAAGUCUGGUGCCAGCAGCCGCGGUAAUUCCAGCUCCAAUAGCGUAUAUUAAAGUUGUUGCAGUUAAAAAGCUCGUAGUUGAAUUUCGGGAUCAAUAUUUCGGUCAUGCCGUUGGUAUGCACUGUUAUCAUUGAUUUCUCACCUUCUAAAGAACCGUAAUGCCAUUAAUUUGGUGUUACGGGGAAUUAGGACUGUUACCUUGAAAAAAUUAGAGUGUUUAAAGCAGGCUCACGCUUGAAUACAUUAGCAUGGAAUAAUGAAAUAGGACAUCCGAUUCUAUUUUGUUGGUUUCUAGGAUCGAUGUAAUGAUUAAUAGGGAUAGCUGGGGGCAUUAGUAUUCAAUUGUCAGAGGUGAAAUUCUUGGAUUUAUUGAAGACUAACUACUGCGAAAGCAUUUGCCAAGGAUGUUUUCAUUAAUCAAGAACGAAAGUUAGGGGAUCGAAGACGAUCAGAUACCGUCGUAGUCUUAACCAUAAACUAUGCCGACUAGGGAUCGGAUGAUGUUAAUUUUUUAAUGACUCAUUCGGCGCCUUACGGGAAACCAAAGUGU